rfam:Triticum aestivum genome assembly, contig: Triticum_aestivum_CS42_TGACv1_scaffold_405583_5BL
UUCUUACUUCCUCCGUCCAAAAAUACUUGUCAUCAAAAUAAAUAAAAAAAGAUGCACCUCGAACUAAAAUACAUCUAGAUACAUCCCCUUUUAUUCAUUUUGAUGACAAGUAUUUCUGGAUGGAGGGAGUAUAAA